rfam:Salmo salar isolate Sally breed double haploid chromosome ssa01, whole genome shotgun sequence.
UGCACAAAUGACUGUAAGUCACUUUGAUUAAAAGCGUCUGCUGAAUGGCAUAUA